CGACGUUUACGCCGAAGAACGCGAGUGAGACUACUGGAAGGCCGAGUCCGCUAACUAAGGGAGCGAUAGAUCCUACAGGGCAAAACCACGAAAGACGGGACGACGACGUUAGCGGCGAAGAUUUAUCGCUUAAGUGACUCUAUCGAAGUGAAACCUCGUGGGUUGAACCGUCGCGUGUAACGGAAAGGAGUGGUUAGCUCGGAAGUGUAAGUCGGAAGUGCGUGUAGAUGUUGCACUGUGUUAAGGAAAGGGAUACAAAUGUACAUACUCUCUGCACGCAAGACUAAUUCAGACAUCAGCCUGAAGAGAAACGAAGGGAGGAAGGACAACUGAAUCAAUUUGGAGAACGGUUUUGAUAGGCCGAAUGACACGUGAAUGCGUUAUACGGCGGGGUGUUCUGAAAUAUUACACUGGUGCCGCCAAUUAUCGCCGACAGCGAGCGAAAAACGUAAUGGACGAUUACAACUAACAUCAAAUCGUGACACUUUCGGACAAUAAAAAGUCGGGAAUGUGCAAACUGUGCGCGCCGUGACGGCCGCGGCACGACGACACUGUUGACAAAACGUGAUUAUAUUUUGCUACAUCAUACGCGAAAUCGGGGCCAAAUGUCGAAAUAAUAACUUUGUGCAGAUACAUUAUAGUGAGGAAUGCGAAAACGAAAUAAUGUUAUCAAGGGCUGCAAACCGUAUUAUUAAUGCUAGAUCAAUUUUGAAUUUGACAGGCGCGUUAAAUGAUAAUUCUCGCUAGCUAUCUCACUGUAAGGAUCUUUGAAUAAUUUGCAAUUAGUAAC